rnacentral:rRNA from 1 species
CACGUAGGGUCCGAGCGUUGUCCGGAAUUACUGGGCGUAAAGCGUGCGCAGGCGGUUGGGUCAGUCGCUGGUGAAAGCCCCACGCUCAACGUGGGAAUGGCCAACGAGACGGCCCGACUGGAGGCAGGGAGAGGCCGGUGGAAUUCCGGGUGUAGUGGUGAAAUGCGUAGAUAUCGGGAGGAACACCAGUGGCGAAGGCGACUUCCUGGCCUGUUCUUGACGCUGAGGCGCGAAAGCUAGGGGAGCAAACGGG